rnacentral:rRNA from 1 species
UACUCUUACGGGGGGCAGCAGUGAGGAAUAUUGGUCAAUGGGAGAGAUCCUGAACCAGCCAAGCCGCGUGAGGGAAGACGGCCCUAUGGGUUGUAAACCUCUUUUGUCGGAGAACAAAACCCGGGACGUGUCCCGGACUGCGUGUAUCCGAAGAAGAAGCAUCGGCUAACUCCGUGCCAGCGGCCGCGGUAAUACGGAGGAUGCGAGCGUUAUCCGGAUUUAUUGGGUUUAAAGGGUGCGUAGGCGGUCCGUUAAGUCAGCGGUAAAAUUGCGGGGCUCAACCCUGUCGAGCCGUUGAAACUGGG